rnacentral:rRNA from 1 species
AGUGAACGCUGGCGGUAGGCCUAACACAUGCAAGUCGAACGGCAGCACAGAGGAGCUUGCUCCUUGGGUGGCGAGUGGCGGACGGGUGAGGAAUACACCGGAAUCUACUCUGUCGUGGGGGAUAACGUAGGGAAACUUACGCUAAUACCGCAUACGACCUACGGGUGAAAGCAGGGGACCUUCGGGCCUUGCGCGAUUGAAUGAGCCGAUGUCGGAUUAGCUAGUUGGCGGGGUAAAGGCCCACCAAGGCGACGAUCAGUAGCUGGUCUGAGAGGAUGAUCAGCCACACUGGAACUGAGACACGGUCCAGACUCCUACGGGAGGCAGCAGUGGGGAAUAUUGGACAAUGGGCGCAAGCCUGAUCCAGCCAUACCGCGUGGGUGAAGAAGGCCUUCGGGUUGUAAAGCCCUUUUGUUGGGAAAGAAAUCCAGCUGGCUAAUACCCGGUUGGGAUGACGGUACCCAAAGAAUAAGCACCGGCUAACUUCGUGCCAGCCGCCGCGGUAA